UCAAGUUAUUAAGGGUGCAGGGCGGAUGCCUUGGCACUAGGAGCCGAUGAAGGACGUGAUAAGCUGCGAUAAGCUUCGGGGAGUUGCACGUAAACUUUGAUCCGAAGAUUUCCGAAUGAGGAAACUCACUUAGAGUAAUGUCUAAGUAUCAUUAAGUGAAUACAUAGCUUAAUGAGGGGAACUCAGGGAACUGAAACAUCUAAGUACCUGAAGGAAGAGAAAGAAAUUCGAUUCCGUAAGUAGCGGCGAGCGAACGCGGAUUAGCCCAAACCAAUAAAGUUUUCUUUAUUGGGGUUGCGGACAUAUCAUAACGAAGAGGUAUCGUAAUUGAAGAGGUUUGGAAAGACCCACCACAGAAGGUAAUAGUCCUGUAUGUUAAACGAGAAGACUUUAGAUAUGAUCCAGAGUACCACGGGACACGUGAAACCCUGUGGGAAGCAGGAGGGACCACCCUCCAAGGCUAAAUACUACCUAGUGACCGAUAGCGUAUAGUACCGUGAGGGAAAGGUGAAAAGAACCCCGGGAGGGGAGUGAAAUAGAACCUGAAACCCUGCACUUACAAGCUGUGGAAGCACAUUUCUUGUGUGACCGCGUACUUUUUGUAGAACGGGCCAACGAGUUACGUUAAGUAGCAAGGUUAAGCACUUAAGGUGCGGAGCCGUAGCGAAAGCGAGUUUUAACUGAGCGUUCAGUUACUUGACGUAGACCCGAAACCGGGCGACCUACCCAUGAGCAGGAUGAAGCGAAAGUAAAAUUUCGUGGAGGUCCGAACCCACGAGCGUUGAAAAGCUCGGGGAUGACUUGUGGGUAGCGGUGAAAUUCCAAUCGAGCCCGGAGAUAGCUGGUUCUCCCCGAAAUAGCUUUAGGGCUAGCCUCAAGGUGAGAGAUACGGAGGUAGAGCACUGAAUGUCCUAGGGGGUAUUGCACCUACCGAAGACUAUCAAACUCCGAAUGCCGUCAUCUUAUACUUGGGAGUCAGACUGUGGGUGAUAAGAUUCAUAGUCGAAAGGGCAACAGCCCAGAUCGUCAGCUAAGGUCCCUAAAUGUAAGUUAAGUGGUAAAGGAUGUGGGAUUGCACAGACAACCAGGAUGUUGGCUUAGAAGCAGCCACUCAUUCAAAGAGUGCGUAAUAGCUCACUGGUCGAGUGAUCCUGCGCCGAAGAUUUCCGGGGCUAAAACUUACUACCGAAGCUACGGCAUCAGUAAUGAUGGGUAGGGGAGCUUCCCAUACGGGUUGAAGCAUGACCGUAAGGACAUGUGGACAGUAUGGGAGUGAGAAUGUUGGCAUGAGUAGCGAGAUGUGGGUGAGAAUCCCACAGGCCGUAAACCCAAGGUUUCCAGGGGAAGGUUCGUCCGCCCUGGGUUAGUCGGGACCUAAGCUGAGGCCGAAAGGCGUAGGUGAUGGACAACAGGUUGAUAUUCCUGUACUACCGAUAACCGUUUGAGAGAAGGGAUGACACAGUAGGAUAAGCUAAGCACACUGUUGGUUAUGUGUGCCCAAGCAUUGAGGCAGUCAAAGUAGGCAAAUCCGCUUUGAUAAUGCUGGGAUGUGAUGGGGAGCGAAAUUUAGUAGCGAAGUAGCUGAUUUCACACUGUCAAGAAAAGUCUCUAUCGAGGUUAAAGGUACCCGUACCGCAAACCGACACAGGUGGGUGAGGAGAGUAUCCUAAGGCCAGCGAGAGAACUGUUGUUAAGGAACUCGGCAAAAUGACCCCGUAACUUAGGGAUAAGGGGUGCCACCAUCAGGUGGCCGCAGAGAAUAGGCCCAAGCGACUGUUUACCAAAAACAUAGGUUUCUGCUAAGUCGCAAGACGAUGUAUAGGAGCUGACGCCUGCCCGGUGCUGGAAGGUUAAGGGGAUCUGUUAGAGCAAUCGAAGCAGUGAACUUAAGCCCCAGUAAACGGCGGCCGUAACUAUAACGGUCCUAAGGUAGCGAAAUUCCUUGUCGGGUAAGUUCCGACCCGCACGAAAGGCGUAACGAUUUGGGCACUGUCUCAACAACAGACUCGGUGAAAUUGUAAUUCCGGUGAAGAUGCCGGAUACCUGCGACAGGACGGAAAGACCCCAUGGAGCUUUACUGUAGCUUGACAUUGGGUCUUGGUACUACAUGUACAGGAUAGGUGGGAGGCUUUGAAACCAGGACGCCAGUUUUGGCGGAGCCAUCCUUGGGAUACCACCCUUGUAGUACUGGGACUCUAACCAUAGGCCAUGAAUCUGGUCUUGGGACACUGUCAGGUGGGCAGUUUGACUGGGGCGGUCGCCUCCCAAAAGGUAACGGAGGCGCUCAAAGGUUCUCUCAGUACGGUCGGAAAUCGUACGUAGAGUGUAAAGGCAAAAGAGAGCUUGAUUGCAAGACAUACAGGUCGAGCAAGGAUGAAAAUCGGACUUAGUGAUCCGGUGGUUCUGCGUGGAAGGGCCAUCGCUCAACGGAUAAAAGCUACCCUGGGGAUAACAGGCUUAUCUCCCCCAAGAGUCCACAUCGACGGGGAGGUUUGGCACCUCGAUGUCGGCUCGUCGCAUCCUGGGGCUGUAGUCGGUCCCAAGGGUUGGGCUGUUCGCCCAUUAAAGCGGCACGCGAGCUGGGUUCAGAACGUCGUGAGACAGUUCGGUCCCUAUCCGUCGCGGGCGUAGGAAAUUUGAGAGGAGCUGUCCUUAGUACGAGAGGACCGGGAUGGACGUACCUCUGGUGUACCAGUUGUCCUGCCAAGGGCAUGGCUGGGUAGCUAUGUACGGAAUGGAUAAGCGCUGAAAGCAUCUAAGCGCGAAGCCAACUUCAAGAUAAGAUUUCCCACCGCAAGGGUAAGACCCCAGAAAGACUAUCUGGUUGAUAGGUCGAAGGUGUAAGUGCAGCAAUGUAUUUAGCUUAUCGAUACUAAUAGGUCGAGGACUUGACCAA
rnacentral:rRNA from 1 species